UGUGGGAGCGGGCUUGCUCGCGAUGCAGGCAACGCGGAGUUUCUGGACAACAGCGGUGAUGCUAUCGCGAGCAAGCCCGCUCCCACA
rnacentral:antisense_RNA from 1 species